UGUCUACUACCUCUGCCACAAGACAUCGUCCCAGAUGUUGGCUCCUCUCUCGGCCAGGCUCCCAGCGCAAAGAGGACACAGAGCAGAGCUGUAGCCACCCUUGAAGGACAAGUGGCAAUCCUAAGACAAGCCUCCGUUGUUGAAGGGAUGACACCUGGGGUCAUAUCCUGGCUGAUACACAUCGUGGCUGCUGGAAGGGCUUCCCGAGAGCUGCUGCCUGGUGCAAUGGAUGAUUCACCGUUAGAAUGUGAUGCCCUUGACUUGGCGGCCACUUGGCAGGUACUACACGAGCAGCGGAUGUGACCGUGACUUGGCGUUUCUGCACACAGAUCUGACAACAGCCUGAGCUCCGAGAUUAAUCUGCUAACGUGAGUUGUGUGGAAACGCUGGCCUUACACAGCACGUGGGAGGCUCUUCCAUUGGAUUCGUGGCCUGUGACCGUCUUCACCUCUGGGGAACCACUGCCUGUUCCCCUCCCUGCUCCUGGCCACCCACCAGCAAGAGCCGUGUGCACGGAGGCCAUUGUCCACCUGUGCCCCUGCCAAGCAUUCACCAGCGUAAGGGGAAACAGCCAGUGUGAACGUGACCCAGAACUUUCUCCCCCAGCCCGUACCUUUUCAAGAUAAUGAGGGCAUGCAUCGUCCACGGGAGAAGGAGGAGGGCCUGAUUCAGCUGCACGGCUUCCACCGUCCUCCGGGCCACAGUCUCUGGCUUCAGCGGGGGGAAGAGG